UGUAAUUAUUUAAAAUGGAGUCCAAUGGAGAGGACAAAAAUAAUCCUUUAGAAAAUGCAGCCUUAAUAAGAGAGAAGAUAAGAGUGCUACAAGCAGAACUGAAGAGACUGGAGUCCCAGAGCCUGGAGGAAGGAAAGGAGAGAAGAAUGAAGCUACUAGAAGCGGUUAAUGGAAUAUUAUUAUUCAAUUGAAGCUGGUGCAUGUUGUUAGGUACUGAUACUGAACCGGACUGGGUGAGGGGAGGAGGAUAUGUUAGAGUCACUAAUAGUGUCCUCUAUUAUCAUUAUCAGUCAGGAUGCUACUAUGAAUCACCUAAAGAAGCGAGCAAGGCUUACUUACUCCAGCACGGUGACUAUCUAAAGAUUGGUGGUAGUUCUUUCCUGUUACACAUUCAUCAUGGUAUGGCCUCCUGCGGUGAGUGCUCCUCUAUGGGUAUCAGUGUUGUGGGGGCGGCUGAUGGGGGCGGAGCUAGCAACAAUGAGUCUCUGGAGAUGCAGCGAAGGAAAGGACUCAAUAAACUGAAAAAGAAAUAUGGACUGAGGUUGAAGGAUUCUUUUGGAGAUGAGUCUUACAAGUUACCGGAGAAUUACACUGACAAUGCACCUGCUAGGAGGAAGAGGUAUGGUGUUGAACUACCACAAUCAGCUAUUAGAGACGAUAGUCCAUCAACAGUGAAUGACCCCUUUAGUUCUAGUAAUAAAGGACAUCAAAUGUUAAAAAAGUUUGGAUGGAGAGAAGGAGAUUCACUUGGGGCAGCUGACAAUAAAGGAAUAACAGAACCAGUGCUAAUGUUAUCAAGGCCAGUAAACCAAUCAGUGGUAUGUAUAUAGCUCUCUCCUUCCUCUGGCUAUUAUUAGUACCCUGGGCAGCCAUCAUGAUAUUCCUCAUUCAUUGUUAUUAUCAUCUGUCUGGCGGUACAUUAGAUAAAGCAGCUGCUGAGGCUGCCAAAGGUGCUGCUGGU